CAUGAUACAUAUGUUUUAACAUGACACGUAUGGUUUGCGUGAUUUAUUAAUUAUUUUAAAAUUAAAUGAAUGUGAUAUUGAGAUGUUUGAAACUGUUUUAGAUAUAUGAUUUUAGCUCACUCUCGAGACUGACAGUCUCUAUUUACUGUUUUUCAGAUUCGUGACUGUUAAUCUUCCCGCGACUCUUACUCAGUAACCUGACUUCUUCAUCAUCGGGUGGUGUUUGGGUUGGUAUGUCAAAUUAUAAAAAUCUUAGAUUCUCCGCAGUAGUAAUAGUAGAGGUAUCAGUGGUAAUUUUAUGUAGUUUCGGGUCUCACCUAAUUCUUCUGGUAUACCGAUUCAAUUGUGUAAGAUUUAAUGUUAAGAUAAUUUGUGGCUUUAAUAAUAUUAAUUUAAGAUGAGAUUUGAUUGAGUUAGUGAGUGUCAGGCUUACUACGGG
rnacentral:lncRNA from 1 species